GCAGGCGUGCCCUUCAAAGCCAAAGGAACUGGAGCAGACGAGACAAAGAUGGACACGGUGGCUGUAAAGACACGAGCGGGCGUGCGAGUGUCUCCUGUGGCUGCAAGAGAAAGUCAUUAGGAGCUUUGAAGAUGAAUGUACAGCAUCAUCGGCGAGGGACUUGUGUGGCUCCGCGAGGACACAAAGGACAGCUGCUGAAAUCACUGAGUGGAAAAAAAAGAACAACAAAAUCUGUGGACCAUCCAUGAUCCCAGUUAUUAGACAAUGGAGUGACUCUGGGAUCAGAGGAGGAGAUGUGAUGCUCUGGCUGGAGCUCCACAGGCCACAGAGAUGACACAUGGACAAACACCAUGCCAGCGACAUGAUGACAUGAUGGGGCCUUAAUGAUAGUUCUUAGCACCUCAUUCUCUUCAGGGCUGUCACGUCACAAAGGGUCAUAUGUCUGGCAAUGUUUCCACAAACAACUCUAACAGGAAAACCGGUGAUAUUGUUUUUCAUGACUGAAAACGGGUAAUCAGUCCAAUCAGAAAAAGUCCCCUUUUCCUUAUUUGUUCAAUU